rnacentral:rRNA from 1 species
GACGAACGCUGGCGGCGUGCUUAACACAUGCAAGUCGAACGGUGAAGCGCCUUCCUUUUUGGUGGGUGUGGAUGAGUGGCGAACGGGUGAGUAACACGUGAGUAACCUGCCCCCUUCUUCUGGAUAACCGCAUGAAAGUGUGGCUAAUACGGGAUAUUCUGGGUCUGUCGCAUGAUGGGUCUGGGAAAGGUUUUUUUCUGGUGGGGGAUGGGCUCGCGGCCUAUCAGCUUGUUGGUGGGGUGAUGGCCUACCAAGGCGGUGACGGGUAGCCGGCCUGAGAGGGUGGACGGUCACACUGGGACUGAGACACGGCCCAGACUCCUACGGGAGGCAGCAGUGGGGAAUAUUGCACAAUGGGCGCAAGCCUGAUGCAGCGACGCCGCGUGAGGGAUGGAGGCCUUCGGGUUGUGAACCUCUUUCGCCAGUGAAGCAGGCCUGC